UGUCAGAAUUGGGAUGUAUAAACUCGCAAUUAGGAGAAAAAGUCUAAAUUGUGACAUAUAAACUCGCAAUUACGAGAAAAAUCACAAUUGUGAGAUAUAAACUCGCAAUUACGAGAAAAAGUCUAAAUUGUGACAAACUCGCAAUUAUGAGAAAAAGUCUAAAUUGUGAGCUACAAACUCGCAAUUACGAGAAAAAGUCUAAAUUGUGACAUAUAAACUCGCAAUAACGAGAAAAAGUCUAAAUUGUGACAAACUCGCAAUUACGAGAAAGUCUAAAUUGUGAGAUACAAACUCGCAAUUACGAGAAAAAGUCUAAAUUGUGACAUAAACUCGCAAUUACAACAAAAAUCACAAUUGUGAGAUAUAAACUCGCAAUUACGAGAAAAAGUCUAAAUUGUGAGAUAUAAACUAGCGAUUACGAGAAAAGUCUAAAUUGUGACAAACUCGCAAUUGU